UUGGCGAGCAGCUAGCGAAAAAUCGGCAAGUCUUCCACCUUGUUCCAAACUCAAUCGUAGCCUAAACCAUCUAUACAAGUUGCAGCCCAAGUCCCUAAAUUUUACAACAUGUUCAAUUAAGUCCCUUUUGUUCACUAAAUUGCCAAUUACAAUAUAAAACAUAACAAACUCCCCCUUUGACAUUCUUUGACAAAACUAUUCAAACAACGUCAAGACUAAAAAAUGAAAACCUAUUCUACCCAAUAUACCCUAGCACUGAGUCUUGCAUUCCUUUUGUUGUACCUGUUUCCUGAAAUCCAAAAAAUCAUAUACCCAGUGUAAAAGCACUUGAUACAGGAAAUACAAAAAUUAAAUCACUUAACCACAAAUCAACAUGCCAGUUUGAGACGUGACAAUGAUGUCAAUCAAAACACCAACCUCAGUAAACAUCAAAACUCAAACAUAAUGGAUGUGAUAUAAAAUGCAAUGCAAUGCUCCCUCUUACUGCAAACUCUCAUGAAUUUUAUACAUAUGAAUUUUAUGUAGUAAUACAAUGUAUCUAUGUCUCACUCUAACGACCCAUGAUAUAGCAAUGAUGUAAAAUGCAAAAUGUCAAUUAAUCAAUGAAAUCAGUGCACAUGCAAAUGCAAAAUCGCUCCAUGCUCUUAUUUUCUCCCCCUCAGUUACACAUUUUUCUCCCAUUUUUUUAUCACAAAUGUUGAAGGGAAUACUAACAAAUUUAACUUAAAAAUGCAGUUGAUAGCGUGCACAAGUAAAAUCAAUAUACUAUAAAUCUUCCUACAUACUCAGUUCAGAUCAGAAUGGAGUAAAUAAUAUAAGUGACUCAUGUGUGUAAAGUGUCACUAAUCCAAUGCAAGUAUAACUCCAAAUCUUAAUUUUAUGAGAAAGGACAUGACAAUCACUGCCAAUAAGUAUAUCAUUCUACUGAUGAAAGUCAAACCUCGAGAGUAUAGUAGGACCUAUACUUAUUAUUUUUAUUUUCUCCCCCUGAUUUUGCGCAUUUAUAUUUUUCAGUUUUCCAUAUUUUUUAGCUCAUAACAUUUUUCACAUUUUUCAUAUUUUUCAAGCUCAUAUAUUUUACAUCUUAAGUACAGGGUCUUUUCCAUUAAGCAACUGAGAUGACCCCUGUAACGAGGUUUAGGUCUAUUAACUCAAGUCAGUUGACCAUAGACAUCAUAUUUUAAGAGAUCCCGCAGGUUUAAUUGCUCAAGUGAAAUAGGCCUUGAAGAAGAACAUUAAGAUAACGAGCUUUUAUUUAGGGGAAUAUUUUUGGGUUUAGGUCUACUAAAUUAGGUCAAUUCAUGUUUGAAGUCACCCAAUUAAUAUGUGAUAGUCAUCCCAAAUCUCACACAUGCGAUAGAGUCCCACUAGCAAAUUCAUAGUAUGUGCAAUGCAGAUGGUACAUGAAGACAUCUAUACUAAGUAAUCCAAAGUGACCUAAAUAAGUAAUGAAAAUUAUUCUAUAGCAUAUCAAUUUUAGCUCUAAAUCUACUGCCGGACACUACCACCACUGCUUAUAUCAACAAUAACCACCACCACCACCACUACCAUUAUCGCCACAUCAACCACACCACCACCACACACAACCCGCCACAAUAACCACAUCACCACUACAAUAACCAUGAAACUAUCGCCAGAGCCACUACCAAGCCUCAACACCACUGCACACACACCACAACACCGCCCCACCACGACACCCAACCAUGCAUCCAUUGAACCCAAUAAUAUAACCACUACAAUCGCAAAACCAACACACCAUAAUACCACAGUACCACCAUUGAACAUUCAAUCACGACAUCACUCAAAAAUAUAAAAGAGGGAAAGAGGAAGAAUGGAUCUACAUCGGGUUGUGCACGGCAGUGCACCGAGUGUUACUAUCGGAAUCGUCGGAGAGAGAAGAAAAAAGUGGAUUGUGAUUUGUGGUUUUCUGGAUUUUUAGGGUUUGGGUGGGUAUAGUUUAGAGUGAGAAGAUAGAGGAUAUUGAAUAUUAUUAAUAUCUUAUUUUUAUAUAAAUAAAUUUUAAAUCUGAUCUUUUAAAUUGAAUCUUAAAAGUAUGGUUGGACGUAAUUUCCACUUCAUUUUCCCCCCUCUUUUACUUUGGUUCCUUUAUGCCCUGCCCUGCCCAGAACAGUAGGUGGGCACAUACAUGUCAUAUCUUACAAACACAAAAUAAAUAAUCAAAAAUAUAAAACAAGAAAUGCCAUGUGAGAUGAAAGCGAGCUCAAGGUACUGAAUGAGGCUCGCCGCUCGUGUGCACUUUAAUUAAUGCUCGAAAUUGUACAAAUAUAACCCGUUCAUAAUUCGCCAUACACGUCUUUACUGUAGUCUCUUCUUCUUUUUGAAUUUCUUAGCUAAUUGCGUUGUCAGAGGAGGUGUUCUUGGUAAAGACCACCAGGUUAUUUUUCGUUGCGAAUCAACUUCAUGCUUUUGAUUUACCUAUUGAAUGUUAUAAUUUAUUUCUUUUCCAUUGUUCUCUUUGGGGACGGGGUUCCUAGUUGGUAUGACAUUUAAGUAUUUAACUGAUAUUUCUAUGCUACAUAAUGCAUUAUUUUAAGGGACUUGAGAGGGAUUCUUAUCUGGGUUUGGUCAAGUCAUUGUGAGUUCUCGAAAUUCCUUUCGAUAGAGUGAUGCCAUAAUUUGAGAGUAUGGCUUCAUACGGAGGAGAUUUGCUACUUUUGUGUGGCUUAUUUUCAUUAAUUGAAGUUUAUUUGGUCUUUUAUUAAUCAAUUGACAGGUGCUGACAGUAAAUUUUGAGCAGCAAGUUGGAAAUAUAGUCAAUUGGUUUUAUCCAUAAUCAUAUUAAAACCGAAUUAUAUUUGAGUUUUUUUCCUGUGAUGGCUUUGUGUUCGCCGCAGUAUUUUAUGCCUCCAGAAACUUGCAGACCCAUGGGGGUACUGAAUGUUCUUGGACGAAGAGUUGGCCCCGUAAAAAUUGUUAAAGAAAAGAGUGGGCUUUUAGGUAUUAGUCAAAAGAGUGGUUCAAAUGUUCCUCGGUGCAAAUGUUCGACCAACUCUCACAGUGUUAAUCAAUUUCAAGGUAAGGACCCAUUUCUGAAUCUUCACCCAGAGAUUUCUAUGCUAAGAGGCGAGACAUAUGCCACAAUGACCAACCCAAGACUGGACAGCUUGAGCGGAAGUGUUACUGAAAGUUCAAGUGAUUUGUCAAGUUUGAACAAUUACAAUGAGGCCAAGAUCAUGGUUAUUGGCGUUGGAGGUGGUGGGUCAAAUGCAGUUAAUCGUAUGAUUGAGAGUGCAAUGAAGGGUGUGGAAUUCUGGAUUGUUAACACUGAUAUUCAGUCCAUGAGUAUGUCCCCUGUGUUCUCUGAGAAUCGGUUGCAAAUUGGUCAAGAGUUAACCAGAGGACUUGGUGCUGGUGGGAACCCAGACAUUGGGAUGAAUGCUGCUAAAGAAAGCAAAGAAGCUAUAGAAGAGGCGGUUUAUGGAUCUGACAUGGUGUUUGUUACUGUAAGUUUAGUCUUCUUUGAACCAAAUGAUUUUCUGCACAAAAUGGUUUUGCUGUUCGAUUCUAGUUUUUUGCCUUCAAACUUUUCUUGUUUAUUUGAGUUUCUAGUUGUCAAACUAGCACAUAUCCUAUAUGCUAAUCAUAUGCUUUUAGAUUCUUUUGAUUAUCAAGAUUAAUUAGUUCUAGAAAUAGGGCUCGAUUAUCUAAUUUGAUCAUUUGUAAUUGAUAAAUAAGUUGUGACAUAUAAAAUUUGUAAUUUGUGAUUGUAACUUUCUGUGACCAUAAACUGUAUGUUAUUAUAAAAUUAACUUAUUUAAUUAUCUAUUUAAUUAGUGUCCCUUGAUUUUUGAAAAAAUUCUAUAAAAUUGUCAUAUUUGAAAUAUAUAUUUAAAAGUAAGUAGUUAUGUAUCAGGGAAAUAUUUUAAUUUUAAAUAAUAAUAUUGUCAAAUUAAAUUAGUCUAACCAUAUUCACCUCCACCGUGUGCCCACAUUGCAUACCCGUCCGCUGUCAUCCCCUCUUACAGUCUUCAUCAUUCACCCGUGGACAUCCAUCCCACCAUUGACUUCUUCAGCGGUGAAUUGAUUAUCGCUCAACGGUGAAUAGACAUAGUCAGCUCAGAUAGUAGAGAAGAAAGAGAAACAUGGCAAUUGUAAAAAUAAAAAUAAAAAUUGAUUGAUCAUUCUUUAGCGACGACUCAACAGUACUGGCAUAAUUUAAAACUAUUUUUUUAAAAUUGAAUUGAAAAAUAGCACCUAGUGAAAUUUACAGAGUACUCACCGUAACAAAUAACUUCAAUUUCAGUUAAGAGAAAUCAAGGAUAUAUGGCUAGUUCUCUUGAAUUUACAUAGAUCUAUUGCCUACGAUAUUUUUCCAAGCUUAUGACCAAUUCUUUUGGAUUUGUAACAUGUAGACAAUGAUCUGUUACCGAUAAAGGUAAUAUGUGAACUAUAAGAUAUGACUAAUUAAUAUUGACAUGUGAACUAUAAUUAGUGAUUUGCGAACAUUCGUAACCUAUACAAUAUAACCUGUGAUAUGUGAAUGGUGACAUAUGACUAUGAACUAUAACAUGUGACCUAUGAGCUAUAACCAAUGAUUAUUAAUAUUGACAUGUGAUCUAUGAAAAUAUACAACCUAUACAGUAUGAACUGUGAAUUAUAACAUGUAAUCAAUGAACAUCAGUGGCCUAUACUAUAUGACCUGUGUCCUAUGAACAAUAACAAUUGACCAAUCAAUAUUGACAUAUGAAUAUAAAUCAGUGAUAUGUGACAAAUUCUAUUUGAUUUGUUACCUGUGAACAUUGAUAUGUAACCCAUAACAAGUGCGCAAAAACAUAUGACAUGUUAUCAAUUCACGUCACAUGUCAUUGUGCACAAGUCACAGACCAUUGCACAAAUAUCAUAAACUAUCUAUUUUAUUGGUUGCGAAUUAUUUAUUGGUUAUAGAUUAGCCCAAUUUAUUGGACACAAACUGUAUUUAUAUAGCCCCAACCCAAUCCAAACCCAACACCACAACCACCACCUACACCAUCACCAGCACUACCAUCACCUCAAAACCCACCAUGAACCCACCUCCAAAACCACCAUAAAAUAACGACAAAAAUCACAACCUCCAUCUCCACCACAACUAUCCCCAACAAAAAAAAAUAAAAAUAAAAAAAAUUCCUAAACUUGCCACUUCCACUACCUUAUAUCAGAAGAGGACAGAAAUGAACACCUUACCAUAACCAGCAACAAUUAUGACCUCCAUCUCCACACACUACAACCACAACCACCACCCAACAAAAAAUCCUAAGCCCGAUGUCAUCACCACCUCAAAUUCACAGAGCACGGAUUGUGUCGAUCAUGUAACCCAAAAAUACAAUUACUAGAACUAUCCUACCAUUUUUAGCCACCAAUUGCAAUUGACAAAAUCAGCCGAGUCGCCAUUUUGAGGAUCGAAUUUUGAGGUAAUUGAACAGCAAUUGGAUCGAUUAAAUGUGUAUCCACUAUUGUCUGAAUGCAAAUUUGAUUUUCCCAUGUAAAUUUUAGAUUGAAUGAUGCAGGAAUCGUCAAUUGAAUGGGAGAUGAUUGCCUCUAUUCACGUACAAUAUGGGUACGAAUUCCAGAACUUGUAUUGAUAUCGGCAUGCCUUCAAUUGUUGCCGACAUGCCUUUUCUUCUAUUUGAUGUCGAAAAGGUCCAAUUAUUCUGCACGGUCUGCAAGCUCCGAAACCUGCACGGCUUCUCGAUUCAUUGAAUCUCUAUCUUUCCCUUCCACCGUUGCCUACAAACUACCUCCGAAGUGGUGUCUACCUUGUUUAUUCCACCACAUCUUCAUCGUCAUUGGAGAAAUUGGAGAGUGGAAACCUGGAUGUAUAGAUUCACAGGAUUAUUGGAGAUAGGGAGAGAUUAGAGUGAGAGUAGAGAAAGAUAUAGUUGAGAGAUAAUUAAUUUUAUUAUUGAUUGAUUAUCACCUGAUUUAUGUUCAAGUAAACUUUAUACCUGAUUUUAGAAUUGUCAUAUUUAAUUAUCAGUUGUGGUAUAAUUUUCAAAAUGUAAUUUCUCCUAAUCAUGCUAUAUGUACAUCGUGCUUGACAACAAAUUUGAUACUCUUUCAUGUGACAGCAAUCUAUACCACUGAUUUUAAACACAUCUAUCUCAUUAUUGUCUAGACUCCUUCUACCUAGGGGAUGUCAUCCUUGGUUGAUAUCGAAGAUGUAAUCUAGCCUCUAUUUGCGUCCCAUUAUUUUCAAAUUCAGUUUUUUCAAAACUAAUUUUCAACCACAUAUUCUCUCAUUAAAUAAUUUUACAUAUAAACUAAAAAAAUUUACAUAUUUUUUAACCACACAUUUUUCAAAAAAUCACCAUUUCAAUAUACAUUAUCUCCAAAAUAUGAGGCUGAAUCAGGAGUUUAACUAUAACUCAUUUCAAAAUUAAGAUAAAAUGUUUAAAACUUCAAAAAUCAGAUAACAUUAUCCCCAGAAUAUGAGGCUCAAUCAAGAGUUUAACUAUAACUCAUUUCAAAAUUAAGAUAAAAUGUUUAAAACUUCAAAAAAUCAGAUAUUCAUUAAAUUUUAUUUCUAAAAUAAUUAAUCAAAUAUAUAUUUUAUAAAUUAAAUAUAAGGUCACAAGUCUAUACAAUUUACUCACAAAUUAUUGAAUUAAUUAAUUGCAAAUAAUUUAUCAAUCACAAUUAAAGAUUUUAUAUGUCAUAAAUUAUUUUAUGGUCACAAAUUUAUCAAAUUAGUAGGCCACAUAUUAUUCCUUGAUUACAAAUUUUAUAAGUCAACUUAUUUCACGACCACAAAAUAUCAAAUUAAUUUUUAGUUACAAAUUAUCAAAUUAUUGGCCACAAAUUAACGAAAUUUUAGGUUACACAUUAUUUGUUGGUCAUAAUUUAUCUAUUUCAUUGUUACAUAUUAACUAAUUUAUUGGUCACAAACAAUUAAAUCAUUUGUGACCACCAUCUUACCACUACCACCAACCACAUCACCAUCGAAACCAUCAUCACCAGAACCACCACCACCACCUCUCAGUAGCAAUACCAUCAUCUCAAACACCGCAACCAAACACCACUAUGAGAAAUUUGGAAUGCUCUAAUGCCUACUUCGACUUUUAAAGUUAUCGAGUUUACGUUCCAGAUUACCAAUUUGUUUGACCUUACAUGCGAAAAUUACUAAUUAAAGCAAUCACGUCACUUGUAUUAGUUUCUAUGGUUUAGCAUACAAGUCCAUUUUCCCCUAAGUUUGAAUACCGCAAUUGUGAUAAAUUAUGGAAAGCAAUAAAAACAAAAUUUUAAUGACGAAAAAACCCAACGUUGGAAAAAUUCCGAAAACAAACCAGUUAUCUCCACUAUAGACCUUUCAGGGAAUACACAGCAAUUCCUCAACUUGUACUUACUAAGAAUCGUUUGUUCUUGUGCUUGUAAUUGCGCUUCAAUCCAUAUUUGUACAAAAUUCUCCAACACGCGACCUAGGGUUUGGCCGCAUAACACUGUCGCUUAAGCAAUGUCGAGCGAGAAGCGAGCGACGCCUGGGUGAAAAACAGGCGACGAUGGUUCUGCUUCCUCCGCUCAAGCAACAACUUGGCGAGCAGCUAGCGAAAAAUCGGCAAGUCUUCCACCUUGUUCCAAACUCAAUCGUAGCCUAAACCAUCUAUACAAGUUGCAGCCCAAGUCCCUAAAUUUUACAACAUGUUCAAUUAAGUCCCUUUUGUUCACUAAAUUGCCAAUUACAAUAUAAAACAUAACAAACUCCCCCUUUGACAUUCUUUGACAAAACUAUUCAAACAACGUCAAGACUAAAAAAUGAAAACCUAUUCUACCCAAUAUACCCUAGCACUGAGUCUUGCAUUCCUUUUGUUGUACCUGUUUCCUGAAAUCCAAAAAAUCAUAUACCCAGUGUAAAAGCACUUGAUACAGGAAAUACAAAAAUUAAAUCACUUAACCACAAAUCAACAUGCCAGUUUGAGACGUGACAAUGAUGUCAAUCAAAACACCAACCUCAGUAAACAUCAAAACUCAAAC
rnacentral:lncRNA from 1 species